rnacentral:rRNA from 1 species
UCGAGAAUAUUGCACAAUGGGCGAAAGCCUGAUGCAGCGACGUCGCGUGUGGGAUUAAGAUCUUCGGAUUGUAAACCACUUUUCUAUGGGAAGAAUUUUCUGACUGUACCAUAGGAAUAAGGGGUGACUAAACUCGUGCCAGCAGUAGCGGUAAUACGAGUGCCCCAAGCGUUAUCCGGAUUAACUGGGCGUAAAGGGUCUGUAGGCUGUUUAUUAAGUUCUUCGUUAAAUCUCCAGGGCUCAACCUUGGAGCUGCGGAGAAAACUGGUAAACUAGAGGAUGUUAGAGGUUGAUGGAACACUUGGUGGAGGGGUGAAAUCCGUUGAUAUCAAGUGGAACACCAAAAGCGAAGGCAAUCAACUGGGACAGUCCUGACGCUGAAAGCGAAAGCAUGGGGAUA